rnacentral:rRNA from 1 species
AUUGAACGCUGGCGGCAUGCCUUACACAUGCAAGUCGAACGGUAACAGGUCUUCGGAUGCUGACGAGUGGCGAACGGGUGAGUAAUACAUCGGAACGUGCCCGAGAGUGGGGGAUAACGAAGCGAAAGCUUUGCUAAUACCGCAUACGAUCUCAGGAUGAAAGCAGGGGACCGCAAGGCCUUGCGCUCACGGAGCGGCCGAUGGCAGAUUAGGUAGUUGGUGGGAUAAAAGCUUACCAAGCCGACGAUCUGUAGCUGGUCUGAGAGGACGACCAGCCACACUGGGACUGCGACACGGCCCAGACUCCUACGGGAGGCAGCAGUGGGGAAUUUGGACAAUGGGCGCAAGCCUGAUCCAGCCAUGCCGCGUGCAGGAUGAAGGCCUUCGGGUUGUAAACUGCUUUUGUACGGAACGAAAAGACUCUGGUUAAUACCUGGGGUCCAUGACGGUACCGUAAGAAUAAGCACCGGCUAACUACGUGCCAGCCGCCGCGGUAACAC